rnacentral:rRNA from 1 species
CGAAGGGGGCUAGCGUUGCUCGGAAUCACUGGGCGUAAAGGGCGCGUAGGCGGCCGUUCAAGUCGGGGGUGAAAGCCUGUGGCUCAACCACAGAAUUGCCUUCGAUACUGUACGGCUCGAGACCGGAAGAGGUGAGUGGAACUGCGAGUGUAGAGGUGAAAUUCGUAGAUAUUCGCAAGAACACCAGUGGCGAAGGCGGCUCACUGGUCCGGUUCUGACGCUGAGGCGCGAAAGCGUGGGGAGCAAACAGGAUUAGAUACCCUGGUAGUCCACGCCGUAAACGAUGGAUGCUAGCCGUUGGCCAGCUUGCUGGUCAGUGGCGCAGUUAACGCUUUAAGCAUCCCGCCUGGGGAGUACGGUCGCAAGAUUA